rnacentral:tRNA from 1 species
CGCGGGGUGGAGCAGUCUGGUAGCUCGUCGGGCUCAUAACCCGAAGGUCGCAGGUUCAAAUCCUGCCCCCGCUACAA